UGGGGAAUAUUGGACAAUGGGCGAAAGCCUGAUCCAGCCAUGCCGCGUGUGUGAAGAAGGUCUUCGGAUUGUAAAGCACUUUAAGUUGGGAGGAAGGGCAUUAACCUAAUACGUUAGUGUUUUGACGUUACCGACAGAAUAAGCACCGGCUAACUCUGUGCCAGCAGCCGCGGUAAUACAGAGGGUGCAAGCGUUAAUCGGAAUUACUGGGCGUAAAGCGCGCGUAUGUGGUUUGUUAAGUUGUAUGUGAAAUCCCCGGGCUCAACCUGGGAACUGCAUUCAAAACUGACUGACUAGAGUAUGGUAGAGGGUGGUGGAAUUUCCUGUGUAGCGGUGAAAUGCGUAGAUAUAGGAAGGAACACCAGUGGCGAAGGCGACCACCUGGACUAAUACUGACACUGAGGUGCGAAAGCGUGGGGAGCAAACA
rnacentral:rRNA from 1 species